UCCUCCUGAAUCUAAUCGAUGAUUAUCGUGGAGUCACCCUCAACGAAGAUCUUCUCUGUCCGCAACUCCUGCCUCGUGCAAAUAAUGCCCACCCAAGUAGUACAAAAUUCUACUUCGAGGAUGGACGGCUCAAAAAGAUGUGAGCCUCCCACAGUCGAUAGCCUAGCAUUUAAGCCCCUGAUGACAUAGUCCGCACCAUCUCUACUAUCCUUAACAUUGCCAUCGAAGUUGACCUUGAUAAAUUUUGAAUGAGAGGACUUCCAAAAAAUCAAAAAAAUCCUCCGAAUCACUACAGAUGUAGCAAAAGAGUCCCAAAAACUCAGGGUAACAAGGAUCAGACCAGUAUUGUCGAAAUGACUGUACUCCACAACUAAGCAAUAGGCUCUCUCUAGCACUUGAUGUGCAGGCACAAUCUCAGCUUAGAAGAUCAGGCUCCUAUUAGAUAGCCAAAUUCGAUAUAUGACGUACGUCAUCCUACCGCUUUAUGAAGAACCCUCGAUCAUACUCUGACAGAUCACAUCUAGGAAGGGAGGAAGCCAAGGGCCACUGAUCGUCCUCCAAGGCUGACCAUCCACCAUUCUCCAAAUCAAACUCAUCCUCGGACAAUGAAGGAGGGCAUGCUCUGUCGACUUAUCGUCUAGCCCAUAGAUCGGACAGGCAACCACAAGCUCAAUACCUCUAUCCUUGAGAAGUAUCUGAGUUGGAAGCCAGUCCCAAGCAACCUUUCAGAGAAAAAAUUUGACCCCAAGAUAGGCAGCCACUCUCUGGAUCCAAGCAGCCUCAAUUCUCCUAUCUAGCAUUGGUCUACUCAUCUCAAUGAGGUCCCAUUCAGGAAUCUUAGGGUAGCAAGAUCAGCUCUACACCUCAAAUCUUGGCUCCGAUGGAUAAAAAUCAAGAUAGCAAGAAUCCUAUCGGCAAGCUGACCAUCAAAGAGAUGGGUGACAUUCCAAGCCCUUCAACUUCUACCAUCAUCAAUGAUCAAAUCACAGACCUACAGAUGGUCGUCCACCUCCAUGCUGACAUAGAUCGACCCACGAG
rnacentral:lncRNA from 1 species